CGAGGAAAAGAAACCAACAGGGAUUCCCUCAGUAGCGGCGAGCGAAGCGGGAUAAGCUCAAGUUUGAAAUCCGGGCUUGACUCGGAGUUGUAAGCUGAAGGGUCGUUGGCCGAAGCUGCCUGGGUCCAAUUUUCUUGGAACAGAAAGUCAUUGAGGGUGAGAACCCCGUUCAUGGCUCAGUGCUCCGCUUCCUAGUGCCGGCGCUCCCAAAGAGUCGGGUUGUUUGGGAAUGCAGCUCAAAAUGGGUGGUAAUUUCAUCUAAAGCUAAAUAUUGGCAAGAGACCGAUAGCGAACAAGUAGAGUGAUCGAAAGGUGAAAAGCACUUUGAAAAGAGAGUGAAACAGUGCGUGAAAUUGUUGAAAGGGAAGCGCUUGGCAUCAGCCCGUGACUUCUGGCCAUCCCCCCAGCUAAUGUUGGGUGCACUGGCCUGGAGUUGGGCCAGCGUCGGCUCUGCCCGCCUUAGAAAGGCUGUGGGGACGUGGCUCCUUUUGGAGUGUUACAACCCGCAGCGGCAUGGGGUGAGGUGGGGCCGAGG
rnacentral:rRNA from 1 species